AUAUCGAUAGUAUAAUCUUAGUACUUCUUCUUUCCAUGUAGAGGGUCUCCUUAUAGGAGUUGAUAUA
rnacentral:tRNA from 1 species